CUGUGCCAGGUUGCAAGCUGGGGCACAUGGGCAGGGACUCUUUCCCCCAGCAACAGUAACAGAGGACUUUGUUGUGCCUGAGAAAUCAGUUUGUUUAUUUAGUGUCUGGUGCAUUCUUUUCUCCUGUGCAGUUUUUUAUUAUGCAUGGGAGCAAUAAUGUUUUUCAUUUCUGCUGCAAGCUACUUUGGAGUUGCGUGCGUCAUUGACUGCAGGGAGCUGGGAUCUGCUUUGAAGCCCUGUAAGGUGAAAGGCGAAAAGCAGCUCAGGGAGCAUGGCCCAUGCAUGGAGGAUAUCUGGCUACUGGUAUCUGCAGGUGCAAUGAGCAGCAGUGAGGAUACAUACAUUACGGACCGUGAGGCACUAUGGUAACCGGGGCCAAUUAGCUCCUACCUAAGGGCAGUUAGCUCCCAGAUGUGGAAUAUCAGACAACUGUGAACCUACAGAAUUGCUAACAGAUCACUCAUUAUUCUCCUCCUGAGACUUUUAAUUGGGGAAUUAACGCAUGGUAUUUUUAGUGAGUGUCCUCAGAACAUUUAUCUUCUUCUACAACAUGUCAGUCCCUCAGGGAGCACUAUUUGGGGACCAACCACUGCUGGAGGUGACAGAGAGGAGUUAUCUCGUCUGAAAUCCCUGCUGACACCAGCGGCUGAUACAGAUGGAAGGCAAAAGAUAUGCAUGUCAUAACCAUACUCCUAAACACAUGAGUAACCUUGAAUGAAUGAAGCGAUCUCACAUACCUCAUGGGCUGCUAACUUCAGCCUUUGACUGCUGGUUUCUGAAGUGAACUCGUCUAUAAACCUCUGCUGUGAAGAAGACCAAGUGAAAUGAGGUGUUGGAGAAUUUAGAACAGUUAUUAACAUGAAAUGUGCUGGAAGAGACAGGCAAGGGAGGAGGCCGACCUAUGGGCCAGCAGACAGCCUCUGGCUGGGGAAGUCCCAGCUAAUAAGGAGACAACAAUUCUGGAAAUAGGGAAGGAGACUUUUCCAUGUUGCAUCUUGCCUUAUCAACACCAUCAAGAAAUAGCUGGGACAAGUUUCUAGAUGCUGCCAGGAGGGAGGAAUUUUACAGAGUUUCUGUUCUUUUCGCCCUUUAAUGCUCUUUUUAGAAAAGUUGGGCCCUUCAGACCUGACUGCGGUUGUGAAAUAUCAUAUGUGCCUACCCAGAAGGAAGGCAAAAAGGAACCACGACAAACACGGCAUGCCUAUAUUUACUUAUAAUCUUUUCUCUGGGUUGUAAGUGCUGAAUUAUUAGUGUUAUGCUAAUAAAGUCCAUUUGAGCUCAUGGAACA
rnacentral:lncRNA from 1 species